rnacentral:rRNA from 1 species
GGGUGAGUAACACGUAGGGAACCUGCCCGCGCACCGGGAAUACGCUCUGGAAACGGAGAACAAAUCCCGAUGUACAGGAAGGAGGCAUCUUCUUUCUGUGAAACAUCCUUUAGGGGAUGGGGCGCGGAUGGACCUGCGGUGCAUUAGUUGGUUGGCGGGGUAAAGGCCCACCAAGACGAUGAUGCAUAGCCGGCCUGAGAGGGCGGACGGCCACAUUGGGACUGAGACACGGCCCAGACUCCUGCGGGAGGCAGCAGUAGGGAAUUUUCGUCAAUGGGCGCAAGCCUGAACGAGCGAUGCCGCGUGAGUGAAGAAGGCCUUCGGGUCGUAAAGCUCUGUUGCGGGGGAAAAAAGGCAGCAUCAGGAAAUGGGUGCUGACUGAUGGUGCCCCGCCAGAAAGUCACGGCUAACUACGUGCCAGCAGCCGCGGUAAUACGUAGGUGGCGAGCGUUAUCCGGAAUGAUUGGGCGUAAAGGGUGCGCAGGCGGUCCUGCAAGUCUGGAGUGAAACGCAUGAGCUCAACUCAUGCAUGGCUUUGGAAACUGGAGGACUGGAGAGCAGGAGAGGGCGGUGGAACUCCAUGUGUAGCGGUAAAAUGCGUAGAUAUAUGGAAGAACACCAGUGGCGAAGGCGGCCGCCUGGCCUGUUGCUGACGCUGAGGCACGAAAGCGUGGGGAGCAAAUAGGAUUAGAUACCCUGGUAGUCCACGCCGUAA